rnacentral:rRNA from 1 species
UAGAACGCUGAAGAGAGGAGCUUGCUCUUCUUGGAUGAGUUGCGAACCCGUUAGUAACGCGUAGGUAACCUGCCUGGUAGCGGGGGAUAACUAUUGGAAACGAUAGCUAAUACCGCAUAAAAUUGAUUAUUGCAUGAUAAUUAAUUGAAAGAUGCAACUGCAUCACUACCAGAUGGACCUGCGUUGUAUUAGCUAGUUGGUGAGGUAACGGCUCACCAAGGCGACGAUACAUAGCCGACCUGAGAGGGUGAUCGGCCACACUGGGACUGAGGCACGGCCCAGACUCCUACGGGAGGCAGCAGUAGGGAAUCUUCGGCAAUGGGGGGAACCCUGACCGAGCAACGCCGCGUGAGUGAAGAAGGUUUUCGGAUCGUAAAGCUCUGUUGUAAGAGAAGAACGGGUGUGAGAGUGGAAAGUUCACACUGUGACGGUAUCUUACCAGAAAGGGACGGCUAACUACGUGCCAGCAGCCGCGGUAAUACGUAGGUCCCGAGCGUUGUCCGGAUUUAUUGGGCGUAAAGCGAGCGCAGGCGGUUAGAUAAGUCUGAAGUUAAAGGCUGUGGCUUAACCAUAGUAUGCUUUGGAAACUGUUUAACUUGAGUGCAGAAGGGGAGAGUGGAAUUCCAUGUGUAGCGGUGAAAUGCGUAGAUAUAUGGAGGAACACCGGUGGCGAAAGCGGCUCUCUGGUCUGUAACUGACGCUGAGGCUCGAAAGCGUGGGGAGCAAACAGGAUUAGAUACCCUGGU